CCCGAUCGCGGCCGCCAUCUUCCGACGAAGCCCCACCCUCCUUCCGGCCGGAAAUGACGUCAGCGACCCCUCCCGCCGUGCCUGACGGGAGCUGUAGUGUCUAAUGCUCUCGGUGUGGUUUGUCCUGCAGGCUGCGCUGCGGCGCACAGCGCCAUGACAAGAUCCGUUUCCCUGUGUUUUAUAGGAGCGGGAAACAACGCUCGGUGUGGUGAACGUUGAUUUGUCCUGGCCGUAAAUGAGUCAGUCAGAAAGCCGCGUUAGGGCUCGAGAUGUCGCUUCAGCUGCGUCUCACACAGUGUGCAUGGCAGCUGUCCUCCGCACAAGCAGGAAUUAGGUGGUAAAGCCACAGCACUCAUUUUCUAAAGGGUGAGAGGGUCUUUGGCUGGAUUCAGGGAAUGCCUUUUCCACUCUUUGCAUCAUGCUGCAAUGACAUGCUUGCUGUGAGCAGAGUUUGUUGGAAUUCAGGUGUAUGGAAACAUGGGAAGAAGAGAGCUGUGCUUGACCCUACUAUUGGGUUCUGAGUGCCUUCCGACAAGUCACUCUAUUCGUGGUUUACGUCAGGAUAGUGUAGAUGCACACGUUGAUUCAUAGCAGUGGAACAGGCUGCCUGGAGAGGUUGUGGAGUCUCCUUAUCGAGAUAUUCUAAACCUGUUAGGCUGCUUUCCUGUGUGGCCUUCUGUACGGAGCCUGCUUUAGCAGGGAGUUGGACUGAGCGGUCUCCAGAAGUCCCUUUCAACACCUCAAUUCUGUGAGUUUGUGAUUACCCAGUUGCCACUGCCUCUAAAAUGAGUGUCUGUUAAUAGGAAGAACACUGUAAAGUUACAGGAAAAUGAUCAGCCUGCAUUUCUUGGUGCAAGAGCAGUAGGCACCAACAGUUGGGACGAGCAGAGCAUCAAGUUGUGGCUGCACAAGCUGGGUUCUGGGUGACCUCACCUCCAUGACCAGCUACCUGAAGCAACUGGCAUCUUCUAAUCUCACAAAACAACUCACCCGGAUCCUGGUUGGCAGAUGGCUAAAGAUCAGAUCCAUAUCCAUGGAGAGAAAUACAGUGUGGGGCUGUUUGGCAAACAUCAUACUCUCAGCAACAGUAUAUUCUGUGACCUUGGACAUUAGUAUGUCUUUACUCCAAAACCCCAGUGUUUGCCCGAAGAAUGACGUAGUUUCUCCAUUUGUUUGGCUCAUGUGGUGACACCUUUAGCCUUCACAUGGACACAGUGAGAUGACUGAUUUCCACUCCCACUGAGCAGCACUGUCUUCAUUAGGGCUGCCUCUUGCUCCCUGAGCCUGUCUGUCCUAGAGGUGCAUGCCAAUGUCCGUGCUGGUGGGACAUCUAAACUGUCUACAUGCUGCCAGGAUCUGUAUUUCAUGACAGCCAGCAAAGAAGUUUCUGAGAAAGCUGAGAGUAUGAUCUAACUGAGGGCCUCGUGCUUGUGCUGUUCUCUUUUCUUUAAUUUUCUCCUCCUCGAUCCAUUCUUUUUUUUGCUGAAGAAUGCUCUGGCACGUGAUACUGGCAAGAAAGCUUUCCCUGCUUUAUGCUUUAUGGUUUUUUUUGUUGUUGUUUUGGUUUUUUUAAUGCUUUAUCCCACCCUAGCAAGAAAGGGAACCCCAAUACAUAUUAAGAUUUCUGAAGCACAAACACUGAAGCAUCUUUAAUGGAUUAAAAGUGUUUUUAUAAAAUAAAAAAUAAAAAUCUAAUACUCUACUGGGACCAAGAAGAUGUUAUAUUGAUAGUCUUCUUCAGGGUCACAGUGAAAAGCCAAGUCUGGUUCUUAUCACUCCCAGUUUAUUUAGAAGCUGUCACAGACAGGAAAAUACAUGGAAGCAUUUCUUUCCCUGUGUUGUCUAUUAUGUGGACUGAGUAACUGUUACAGAAAAGCUGGAGGAGUCUUCCUGAUAAAAAUUGUCCAGUAUUUUAACAGCACUGUAGUUAAUCCCCUGUAGCCCCUUCCCACUCUUUGUUCUUUCAGGAUUACAUAUAUAGCUUUUCCAUAUGAGUAGUGGCUAGUGUGUGGUUUCCAUUCCUUCUAAGCCAAAAUUCAGCACAGAUAGCACUAGUAUUACAAGUCCUAGCAGAGAUUUGCUCACGCAAAAGAAGUGCGGAAACCUCAUGGCUGAGUUCCUCACUUAAUUUAGGAAUUGCAGCCAUUUCAUGUGGAAUGAGCAGUCACUCCAGGUAAUGUCACUGUAGGGUUUAGUGCUAUUAACAUGCAGGACCAUGCUGCAGACCGUGAUCCACAGAAAUUCGUAGUGAAGUAACAUUAAAAACAGACUUACUGGAAAAGAGCUCUGUAAUCAUAGUUUAGGGAUACUUACACCUCUGAAGUUAUAGUGGUAUUGUAUCUCCACAGCAGGUAAGAGGAAUAACCUUGUGCAGUGAGGGGAAUGCAGUGUGCUUUCGUUAAACACAGAAACUAACCUGUCUCAUAAAAGAUAUCAUUACCCACACAAAAUUUUCUUCAGCAAAAUCAGUGCAUCAGCUGAACUAUAAACCUGUUUCACCCAGCUGGUGUUUGAACUUAUAGUACUGUCAUCUCUCUCAGCUUUCCAGUCACCUAACUUGUUUUGGAGUUUUGUUUUUGUCUGUUCGUUAGUUUAAGCCUUUUUCAGAGUAACAUAAUGCAGCUAUGGGGCUGUGGCUAGCAAGAUGUCUGUCUGUGUGAACACCCUUGGUAGAGGGCUACAACUGCUUCAAAAGAGAUUGAACUUGUGGCCAUGGGCAGCUGACUUCAAAGUAUACAUCACAGCACAGGAAAGCUGGAAGACCUGUGUGGUCCUAUGCGGAGUCUGGAGUUGAAUUCAGUGAUCCUUAAAGGUUCCUUGCAACUUGGGGUAUUUUGUGAUAUUCCUCUCUCACUAAUGUGGCAUGGCAGAAGUGAAUAUUGUAUUUGAAUGGCUUGAAUGUUUUGCCAGUAUUGAUUCUUCAAGCUGAGGUUACCACAUAAAAGUUGACAGAAGUAUUCUGCACGUUAAAUAAGUUUUUAAUAUGUUUAAAUAAGACCACCGGAGUCUUUCUUUAUAGGAGGCUUAGGCAAUUUUCUAUGCUUUAUUUUGUGGUUUUGCUUUUGACAGUACCAAAUGUAUCAUUCGCAAGUAGUGGAUUUUUACUGCAGAAGUCAAUUUAAUAGCUGUCCUUGUAAUAUGCCUGUA